GAUGAACGCUGGCGGCGUGCCUAAUACAUGCAAGUCGAGCGAACGGACGAGAAGCUUGCUUUUCUGAUGUUAGCGGCGGACGGGUGAGUAACACGUGGAUAACCUACCUAUAAGACUGGGAUAACCUCGGGAAACCGGAGCUAAUACCGGAUAAUAUUUUGAACCGCAUGGUUCAAAAGUGAAAGACGGUCUUGCUGUCACUUAUAGAUGGAUCCGCGCUGCAUUAGCUAGUUGGUAAGGUACAGGCUUACCAAGGCAACGAUGCAUAGCCGACCUGAGAGAGUGAUCGGCCACACUGGAACUGAGCCACGGUCCAGACGCCUACGGGAGGCAGCAGUAGGGAAUCUUCCGCAAUGGGCGAAAGCCUGACGGAGCAACGCCGCGUGAGUGAUGAAGGUCUUCGGAUCGUAAAACUCUGUUAUUAGGGAAGAACAUAUGUGUAAGUAACUGUGCACAUCUUGACGGUACCUAAUCAGAAAGCCACGGCUAACUACGUG
rnacentral:rRNA from 1 species